AGAACGAACGCUGGCGGCAGGCUUAACACAUGCAAGUCGGACGCUUUCGGGGGUUUCGGCCUCCGAGGGAGUGGCGGACGGGUGAGUAGCGCGUGGGAACCUGCCCCUUUGUGGGGGAUAACCGAGGGAAACUUCGGCUAAUACCGCAUGCGCCCGGGGGUAACUCCGGGGAAAGAUUUAUCGCAGAGGGGAGGGGCCCGCGUCGGAUUAGGUAGUUGGUGGGGUAACGGCCUACCAAGCCGGUGAUCCGUAGCUGGUCUGAGAGGAUGAUCAGCCACACUGGGACUGAGACACGGCCCAGACUCCUACGGGAGGCAGCAGUGGGGAAUAUUGGACAAUGGGCGCAAGCCUGAUCCAGCAAUGCCGCGUGAGUGAUGAAGGCCUUAGGGUUGUAAAGCUCUUUCGGCGGGGACGAUGAUGACGGUACCCGCAGAAGAAGCCCGGCUAACUUCGUGCCAGCAGCCGC
rnacentral:rRNA from 1 species